AUGCAGAAGGCGACUCCAAACAUUGGUAUACCGCAUGAAAUCCGUGAGAAGAGACCAUCGGCCGUCCACCCUCCAAAUCUGGCCAUCCUCUUACCGCACGCCCCCAAAGAGCUCAACACCGACGAAGCAAAGCACGGCAACAACAGCAACAGCAACAGCAAGAACCCCAAAGCAAGAGGAAACCAACCCACCAAACCAACAUUGGCGAGACUGGAAUCGAAGAUCGAAACUAGAAACCCGAAAGCAAAUCCGCCGCCGACAUCGAAGAUGCCGACCCAGAAGGGAGAGCCCACGGGGGAGCACAAAAGAUCCUUCCCCAACGCAAAUAACGGCGCCCCAUUUUAUCUCUUCCCAUCUCCAGCUCCCCCACCGCCCAUUCCCACGCGCCAUCGCCGCCACGGCCACGGCCAUGGCCGCCGCCGCCUCGUGCUCCCACCCGCCCUUCAGCCCCGCCGCUGCGGCUUCUCCCCGCUGCCGUGGCCGCCGCCGCCGCCGCGCGCGCUCCUCUGGCGGCGGCCGCGGCGGCUGGCGCCCACCACGUUCUGCUCCGCGCCGUCGCUGCCUCGCCUGGGACGCGUCGGCUGGCCGCGCAGGGAGGGGAACGCCUGGCUGCUCUCGUUCCGCGGCGACACCGCCGCGGCGCCGGACCCCGCACUGGGGGACCCCUCGAAGGCGCUCUCCGCGCUGCUCCCGCUUGUCGUCGCCGCCACCGCCGUCGCGGCGCUCGGGAACCCCGCCACCUUCUCCUGGGUCUCAAAGGAUUACUACGCGCCGGCGCUCGGGGGCAUCAUGCUGUCCAUUGGCAUCAAGCUCUCCGUCGACGACUUCGCUCUCGCCUUCAAGAGGCCUGUGCCACUCUCCAUUGGUUAUGCCGCACAGUACGUGCUCAAGCCACUACUGGGCGUGAUGGUUGCAAAGGUAUUCAGGAUGCCAUCAGCAUUCUUCGCAGGCUUCAUGCUUACUUGCUGCGUCUCAGGCGCUCAGCUCUCAAGCUAUGCUAGCUUCCUCAGCAAAGGGGAUGUGGCCUUGAGCAUUUUAUUGACAAGUUACUCAACAAAUAUCUUCGGUGGUCGUGACACCUGUUCUCACCGGAUUGUUAAUCGGUUCAGUGGUCCCGGUUGAUGGAAUUGCGAUGGCAAAAUCUAUUCUUCAGGUGGUGCUUGUUCCUGUGACGCUAGGCCUUCUCCUGAAUACCUAUGCGAAGGGAGUGGUGAAUGUAAUACAACCAGCAAUGCCAUUUGUUGCUAUGGUGUGCACAUCUCUCUGUAUUGGCAGCCCUCUUGCUAUCAAUAGGAGCAAGAUCCUCUCUCCAGAAGGAUUCUUCUUACUUCUCCCCAUAGUUGCUUUCCACAUUGUUUCAUUCGUUGCGGGUUACUGGGUCUCCAAGUUGCCACAAUGGAGGCAAGAAGAGCCUGUUUGCAGGACAAUUUCCGUUUGUACUGGGAUGCAAAGUUCCACCCUUGCUGGACUUCUCGCAACACAAUUUCUUGGAACCAGUCAGGCAGUUCCUGCAGCAUGUUCUGUUGUCAUCAUGGCCAUUUUUGGUUUGACUCUUGCAUCAUACUGGGGUAGUGGCUUGCGAAUAAGAGAUGUCGCUGGGGGUUUUUUACCACAAGCUACAGCAGCUCUGAGCCCGUGACAGGCAGCAGGAUGCCGCAUGGUGAUUUUUCCAUGGAUCCCCUUGAGAGUUGAGAGACCAAUUCCAGAAAUUCAUUUGCCAAAUGAGACUGGAGCUACGAGAAAGUCGUCCUUCAGCACAAUUUUGCAUGAGGUACGCCAUGGCUGCAAAAGAGAACUACAAAUUGUGGGCUUUAUGAUGAUAAGGAUCAAGGCGACCAAACUUAUGACAAGAACCACUUGUACAAGAUGCUGAGUUUGCAGUAAUACUCACAUAUAAUACGGUAUAUUGUAGAUUAGGUUAGUUGUCUCUUACCAGCUCCUUGUAGAUAUAGAUACCACUAGACACGAUCCAGGAUGCUUAUAUAUUGGAGGUGCAGUGCUAUACAUAUUUCUGCGAUAUCAUUGGCGCUCACGGCCCAUUGUUCUCAAAAUGAAAAAUGAAACCCGCUAUCAGAUUUUAUUUUUCUUUUUCGCAA